GCUUGGUCACACAGCAAGAAGAGACAGAUUUUGAGUGACCAUCUUUUUGAAAAAAUGAGAAGCCUUGGAGCAGGCUCAGCAGGUGCCAGUUAGAACAUUUAUGGAGAAGCAUGAAAAGGACCAUGCAGGACGGGAAGACACAGUGGGGGCUUAAUCUCUGCCCCGGUGGAGGGAAGCAGCACAGGAGACUGCAGACCAAUUGAAGCAUUAAAUCACAGAAGUAGGAAGUAGAACAUUCUGGCCAAGCUUCAGCGCCCCUGGAAGGGUUAAUACCUACCAAAGAUGCUAGCUGACCACAGCCGGUUUCUCAGAGGUGAAGACCAUAUGUGAAACAGUAGUGCUGGUGAUCUCCAUGAGGAAAUCCUAGAACCCAGAAUUCAGGAGACAUGUCACUUAACUACAUCAACCCUCCAUCUUAUUGACCUCUUAUCAGAAUGCCCAGCUUCCUACACAACACUGCUCAGGUCUAAAGAUCUCAGGGAGAUCUUCCCUGUCCUGCUUGUUAGUGCUCUAGAGACAAGAGAUCUGUUUUUGGAUAGAGUCCUCGCUCAUAAAAUGGCCAAGGAAUCAACCUCUACUGAAGUGCUCCCUUUCACCUGGGUACAUCUCAGCAUGAAGGGGAUCGUGACGUCAGAACAAUCUCUGGCCAAGCUGGAAGGAUUUCCAGCAUAUACACGGUGGUGGACUUUUUGUAUGGGGUGCAAGGACCUGCUUGGCUAAGUGAGAAAGCAUUAGUCACCAAACAAACCACAAUAUACAAAAAUCUGCAGGUUUCAGCAGUUUAUAAGCAGAAGGGUGAUGAUUUCACAGGCACAAAGAACACUCAAUCAAUGAAAAACAAAGAUCCUUUGAAUGACUGAAGUUGUUCAAUUCCUACCUAGCUGAGGACCAAGAUGCUGAUGAAACCGUUCCCACCUUAAGGUGGGACUACUGCCCACAAUCCUGGGACAGGGCAGCAUGCCUUAACCUUGGCAGCCAGGUAGAUUGAUCUGGGCCCCGGACCUUUGGUCAAAAAAGGGGCUAAAAGCAAUCCUUGGGUUUCCAAGGGAGAACUCAGAAGACGCCAAGUAAAUGUCCUUACUUUUGUAAGCUGAUUUUUUUUUUAAUCUUCCUAGAACUAAAUUUUAAAUCUUAUGAGAACUGUUUCUACCUGAGGGAACUAGAAUAGGAUUUUGUUAGAAUGGUUUGAUCCUUUCAAGCUCUGAUCCACUUUAUCAGAUGCCAAAUAGUAAGCCUGGCCCAGGUCUACAAGUGCGUGAAGGUUGACAAAGCACUUUUCUUAUAACAACCCAGUGAAGUAGGCAGUAAAACCAACACACUGGAGGAAAAAAAACCAAUUCACAGGGGUGUAGAGGAACACUGAUCCCCAUUUAACACAGCUAACCUGAAGAUAAAG
rnacentral:lncRNA from 1 species